rnacentral:lncRNA from 1 species
GAGCGUUUCCAGCCGUUCCCCGCCCCAACUACAUUUCCCAGGGGCCACUGCGGCCCGAUUCAGUCUGGUGACGUAGCGGCGUCGGUGGCUAGCGUUUCUCAGCGUGAGGCAAACCUACAGGACUCUGUACUCCCCACCAGAAGAGCCUGAACGGAGAAGUUUGUACCAUUUAAGCCUUAAAGCCAUGGCCCAGAUGAGUUGGACUUGUUCCUCAGUCUUACAGCAACUGACAAGUGGUGCCCGAACAGGGACCUGAGGACGUGGGCUGUUGAGAGGGACCCCGGAAAUAUUUCGUGCGCAGACAUAUACAGGGGACACUAAGGAUCCUCGUUGGAUACCUGAGCACCUCGUGAGAUUCUAUGGAUUCGGACCAGAUGGUGAAUUCCCUCCCCUGCAAUAUGGAUCUGGACCGGAUAGUGAACUCUCUCCCCUGCCAUAUGAAGAGAAUGCGGCUCGACGACACUCCCAAUCCUCCCAAGAAACCAACUCUCCAAGCUCGUCAGUGUCGUCUCUCCUGCACCACGCGGAUGGCCAACCCUCCAACUUGGGCCAAUUGAAACGACUGACCCAGAAGGUGGAGGAGAUGUUGAUGCAGCAGCAAGUGACUAAGUCCCCACAAACAUUGUUUGUGGCUAUGUUGGCUGUUAUUUUUUGUCAGGUAGUUUUGGGUAAUACUGAUGCUUAUUGGGCAUAUGUCCCUGAUCCUCCUUUACUUCACCCUGUAGAAUGAAAUUAUCCCUCAAUUCCUGUUUAUGUUAAUGAUACUUCCCUUCUUGGCUAUCCAAGCAGUGGUUUUAUUACCCCUCUCACUGUAACUCGUUUUUCAUAUACUGCCUUUUCUUUGCGUGCCCCUGUCUGUUUUUCCAUUCCUGCGUUUUGGUAUAACCAACACGAACGAUACCGGCAUGGAUGUCUUUCAGUAGGACCCAGGCCUUCUUAUACAUAUCAGUUCCAGUAUCGGAAUGAAACGUUGUCUCGCA